UACGUAGGUGACAAGCGUUGUUCGGAUUUACUGGGCGUAAAGGGCGCGUAGGCGGUCAGCACAAGUCAGUUGUGAAAUCUCCGGGCUUAACUCGGAAAGGUCAACUGAUACUGUGCGACUAGAGUGCAGAAGGGGCAACUGGAAUUCUCGGUGUAGCGGUGAAAUGCGUAGAUAUCGGGAGGAACACCAGUGGCGAAGGCGGCGACCUGGGCCAAUACUGACGCUGAGGUGCGAAAGCGUGGGGAGCAAACAGG
rnacentral:rRNA from 1 species